rnacentral:rRNA from 1 species
CACGUAGGGCGCAAGCGUUGUCCGGAAUUAUUGGGCGUAAAGAGCUCGUAGGUGGUUUGUUACGUCCGCUGUGAAAUCCUAGGGCUUAACCCUGGGCUUGCAGUGGAUACGGGCAGACUAGAGGUAGGUAGGGGAGAAUGGAAUUCCUGGUGUAGCGGUGAAAUGCGCAGAUAUCAGGAGGAACACCGGUGGCGAAGGCAGCUCGCUGGGACGGUACUGACGCUGAGACGCGAAAGCGUGGGGAGCAAACAGG